ACACAAUACAAAUGUUCAUAAUAAAUAUCCCUUUUGUAGGCAGUAACCUAUAUACCUAGUCAAACAUAAAACAUAAUGUUGGUAAUUCCUAACUACAACUUCAAUCCACCUCAAGCUAGACCAGUGGUUCCAAAGGUACAUCAAGAGUCCAGUAUUUAGGAAAUUCCUACAUUCUACAGAAGUACUGACAGCAUUCCUAGGGAUCGGACACUGGUUGGCUGGAUCAGUG